rnacentral:rRNA from 1 species
ACGGAGGGGGCUAGCGUUGUUCGGAAUUACUGGGCGUAAAGCGUACGUAGGCGGAUCAGAAAGUAGGGGGUGAAAUCCCAGGGCUUAACCCUGGAACUGCCUCCUAAACUCCUGGUCUUGAGUUCGAGAGAGGUGAGUGGAAUUCCAAGUGUAGAGGUGAAAUUCGUAGAUAUUUGGAGGAACACCAGUGGCGAAGGCGGCUCACUGGCUCGAUACUGACGCUGAGGUACGAAAGUGUGGGGAGCAAACAGG